rnacentral:miRNA from 1 species
AGGUGUCAGGAUGGCCGAGUG